GGGGAAGCGGCAACGAUUGGCGGUGUUGCGGCUGACUGUAAAUCAGUUCCCGAGUGGCAAACAUUGGAGGUUCAAUUCCUCUCUUCCCCA
rnacentral:tRNA from 1 species